rnacentral:rRNA from 1 species
AUUGAACGCUGGCGGCAGGCCUAACACAUGCAAGUCGAACGGUAACAGGAAGCAGCUUGCUGCUUCGCUGACGAGUGGCGGACGGGUGAGUAAUGUCUGGGAAACUGCCUGAUGGAGGGGGAUAACUACUGGAAACGGUAGCUAAUACCGCAUAACGUCGCAAGACCAAAGAGGGGGACCUUAGGGCCUCUUGCCAUCGGCUGUGCCCAGAUGGGAUUAGCUAGUAGGUGGGGUAACGGCUCACCUAGGCGACGAUCCCUAGCUGGUCUGAGGGGAUGACCAGCCACACUGGAACUGAGACACGGUCCAGACUCCUACGGGAGGCAGCAGUGGGGAAUAUUGCACAAUGGGCGCAAGCCUGAUGCAGCCAUGCCGCGUGUAUGAAGAAGGCCUUCGGGUUGUAAAGUACUUUCAGCGGGGAGGAAGGGAGUAAAGUUAAUACCUUUGCUCAUUGACGUUACCCGCAGAAGAAGCACCGGCUAACUCCGUG